ACGAGUUAUCUGAACCUUCGGGGAACGAUAACGGCGUCGAGCGGCGGACGGGUGAGUAAUGCCUAGGAAAUUGCCCUGAUGUGGGGGAUAACCAUUGGAAACGAUGGCUAAUACCGCAUGAUGCCUACGGGCCAAAGAGGGGGACCUUCGGGCCUCUCGCGUCAGGAUAUGCCUAGGUGGGAUUAGCUAGUUGGUGAGGUAAGGGCUCACCAAGGCGACGAUCCCUAGCUGGUCUGAGAGGAUGAUCAGCCACACUGGAACUGAGACACGGUCCAGACUCCUACGGGAGGCAGCAGUGGGGAAUAUUGCACAAUGGGCGCAAGCCUGAUGCAGCCAUGCCGCGUGUGUGAAGAAGGCCUUCGGGUUGUAAAGCACUUUCAGUCGUGAGGAAGGCGGCGUCGUUAAUAGCGGCGUUGUUUGACGUUAGCGACAGAAGAAGCACCGGCUAACUCCGUGCCAGCAGCCGCGGUAAUACGGAGGGUGCGAGCGUUAAUCGGAAUUACUGGGCGUAAAGCGCAUGCAGGUGGUUUGUUAAGUCAGAUGUGAAAGCCCGGGGCUCAACCUCGGAAUAGCAUUUGAAACUGGCAGACUAGAGUACUGUAGAGGGGGGUAGAAUUUCAGGUGUAGCGGUGAAAUGCGUAGAGAUCUGAAGGAAUACCGGUGGCGAAGGCGGCCCCCUGGACAGAUACUGACACUCAGAUGCGAAAGCGUGGGGAGCAAACAGGAUUACAUACCCUGGUAGUCCACGCCGUAACGAUGUCUACUUGGAGGUUGUGGCCUUGAGCCGUGGUUUUCGGAGCUAACGCGUUAAGUAGACCGCCUGGGGAGUACGGUCGCAAGAUUAAAACUCAAAUGAAUUGACGGGGCUCGCACAGCGGUGCAGCAUGUGGUUUAAUCCGAUGCAACGCGCAGACCUUACC
rnacentral:rRNA from 1 species